rnacentral:rRNA from 1 species
GAAAGAGGGUGCAAACGUUGUUCGGAAUUACUGGGCGUAAAGCGCGUGUAGGCUGCUCCGCAAGUCGGAUGUGAAAGCCCUGGGCUCAACCUAGGAAGUGCAUUCGAUACUGCAGAGCUGGAGUCCUGGAGAGGAAGGCGGAAUUCUCGGUGUAGAGGUGAAAUUCGUAGAUAUCGAGAGGAACACCGGUGGCGAAGGCGGCCUUCUGGACAGUGACUGACGCUGAGACGCGAAAGCGUGGGGAGCAAACAGG